rnacentral:rRNA from 1 species
GCUUGUCUCAAAGAUUAAGCCAUGCAUGUCUAAGUAUAAGCAACCUUAUACAGCGAAACUGCGUACAGCUCAUUAUAUCAGCAAUUAUUUAUUUGAAGAUCACCUAUUACAUGGAUAACCGUGGUAAUUCUAGAGCUAAUACAUGACUAAAAGGGCUAGCCCUGCAUUUAUUAGAUACAACCAACCCUUCGGGUUUUGGCGAAUCAUAAUAACUGAGCGGACCGUAUUCGUACGGCGUUUCUUAUUAAUUUCUGCCCUAUCAGCUUUCGAUGGUAGGGUAUUGGCCUACCAUGGCGUUAACGGGUAACGGAGAAUUAGGGUUCGAUUCCGGAGAGGGAGCCUGAGAGAUGGCUACCACAUCCAAGGAAGGCAGCAGG